rnacentral:rRNA from 1 species
UACGUAGGGAGCAAGCGUUGUCCGGAAUCAUUGGGCGUAAAGCGCGCGUAGGUGGCCUCAUAAGUCCGCUGUGAAAGUCCAAGGCUCAACCUUGGAAAGCCGGUGGAUACUGUGAGGCUAGAGUACGGAAGAGGCGAGUGGAAUUCCUGGUGUAGCGGUGGAAUGCGCAGAUAUCAGGAGGAACACCGGUGGCGAAGGCGGAUCUCUGGGCCUUACCUGACGCUCAGGCGCGAAAGCUAGGGGAGCGAACAGG